UGGUUCUCUCCGGUUGGCUGCUGUUGGCGCGGGAGCGCGGCUCUGUUAAAAAAAAAAAAAAGCAGUGAUCUCGGUGUGACAGCUCAGAGCUGUCCACGUCAACACACCGAGCGAGCACGGCGGCAGCGAUGGACUCCACGUCUCUGGAACCUUCCCUCUACACAGUGAAAGCUGUUUUCAUCCUUGAUAAUGAUGGCAACAGACUUCUGUCAAAGUACUACGACCCUGAGCUUUACCCCUCCAUGAAGGAGCAGAAGAAUUUUGAGAGGAACGUUUUCAACAAGACACACAAAGCAGACAAUGAGAUAGCUUUCCUGGAGGGGAUGACUAUCGUCUAUAAGGGCAGUAUAGACCUCUUCUUCUAUGUGGUGGGAAGCGCUCAGGAGAACGAGCUGAUGCUGAUGUCGGUACUGAAUUGCCUAUUUGACUCCCUCAGUCAGAUCCUCAGGAAAAAUGUGGAGCGGAGGUGUUUACUGGAUAAUAUGGAAGGAGUGUUCCUGGUAGUGGAUGAAAUCAUUGAUGGAGGGGUGAUUCUGGAGAGUGACCCACAGCAGGUCCUACAGAAGGUCAGCUACAGGCUAAUGUCAGAGCCAGCCUAUGGCUUCGUCCUGUUUGAUUACAUCACUGGUAACCUAGAGGGACAGACAGACAAGAGCCAGCUGCUGUAGACAGACAGACAGAGGGCGGAUGAGAACCCAUUAUCUGAACAAAGUGUGGCCCAGGUUCUGCAGUCGGCCAAGGAGCAGAUCAAAUGGUCCAUACUGAAAUGACGCAGACCAGACAAAUUUAGGAUUCUCAAGAAAGAAUAUUUCUAGUCCCAAAGCUAUUUUUAUAGUAACAGACUAAAGGGAAGAUUAUUACGAGUGAGGCGGACAGUAACCUGCUUUUGUAUAGCAAUGAAUCAGUCAGAAAUAGGGUUUCGUUUCUCUGUGCAAUGGCAUUUUGUUACAUUGUGUGUGACGUGAUUAAUUUAGCUGGUUCGAGAGUGAUUUUAGUCCAUACUAGAGAUGUCACCAGGCCAAAUGACACCAGGCGCUUUAUUCAAAAGUGUCUCAGAAAUGAAAAGUAAAGACUCUAGAGUCCGCCUGUACUUCUCUAUGAAACUGGACGGUUGUCAAACACUAAAAUAGUAGUGACCAGUGUUUUAUUGCUUUAUAUUUUGGUGGAGCAGGAUCUACCAGGCUUAUUCACUCAAAACGGGAUUUAUUUUAGCUGUUUUGUAUUCGGAAAUUUGGAAAUUACAGUUUUAUACACAUUACCUGAAGUUUUAUUUUUCCACAAACGUUACAUUUCCAAAUUAUUUUGGAACAACAACAAAGUUGCCAACAUUUACAAAAAAUAUACACGGCUGUGUCCUGUAAAUUGUUACAAUUUGUGAGUAUAUAUUUUACUUAAACAUUUAAAUCAACAAGGAUAAUCUGGGAAAUAAGAAACUCAUUUGUGCACUGAACUGCUCAGUUUAAUAAAGUUGGUGUUGUUCCGUUUGUAGGCUCCUUUAAUGACAUUAAUGUGUUUUGUAAAGCUUAUUUAAAGACUGUAAAUGAAUGUAAUGAUACUUUAUGACAAAAAACAAAUAUUAGCAGUGUGUGGAAGAGGCAAUAUGUUACUGUUGCACUGUCAGGACUUUUAUUAAAAAUGCCCUCACGAAAGUAAAUUAAUAUUUGUACAUACAAUUGAUUUUAUAAUGAAAGGGACCUUAAAGAAUAUUAAAUGUUCUGCAGGAUUUUGUGGCCAGAAUUACAAAGAAUAAUGUCUAUUUUAUUGGUAUUUUGUGAGUUAAUAAAUAUUAAAUAUUUUACUUGUAAAGAAAAAAGAAGAGAAGCCAAAGACAAACUAAUUAUUUUGUUUACAUUGGAUGGUAUUGAGACAAGCUGUCAUUUUGUCUGUCCACCAUUGGUGAGACUGAAAAUAAAACUGUAUAUUUGU